rnacentral:rRNA from 1 species
CAGCGGCGGACGGGUGAGUAAUGCCUGGGAAAUUGCCCUGAUGUGGGGGAUAACUAUUGGAAACGAUAGCUAAUACCGCAUAACGUCUACGGACCAAAGAGGGGGACCUUCGGGCCUCUCGCUUCAGGAUAUGCCCAGGUGGGAUUAGCUAGUUGGUGAGGUAAUGGCUCACCAAGGCGACGAUCCCUAGCUGGUCUGAGAGGAUGAUCAGCCACACUGGAACUGAGACACGGUCCAGACUCCUACGGGAGGCAGCAGUGGGGAAUAUUGCACAAUGGGCGCAAGCCUGAUGCAGCCAUGCCGCGUGUAUGAAGAAGGCCUUCGGGUUGUAAAGUACUUUCAGUCGUGAGGAAGGCAUAUAGUUAAUAGCUAUAUCGUUUGACGUUAGCGACAGAAGAAGCACCGGCUAACUCCGUGCCAGCAGCCGC